GUGCAGGUCUCAGAGGUGUGGAAUGGAACUCAGGGAGGUUUUUUUUUCUCCCCGAGUUCUCUAGUUUGAAAUGUUUCUUUUAGGUUAUUUGCUAAGCUAACAGAUGUACAAUGUGUGCUCAGAGCAGAAAGAGAGCCCAUGCUUUGAAGUUUGGUGAAGUCAUUCUGGCCUUGGUUAAAGGAUAGCUUUCCUGGGAGCCCAGGAGCAGAUCCCACAAACAUUAAAAGUUGAAGAUUUCCUUUGUCCCUGGUCAUCAUCUCUGUUACUUCCCCCGUCUACUCCUCCCCUCAUUAGAAUGUAAAUCUGAGAGCAAGCAGCUUAUCUGCGUGUUGAUCACAAGACAGAGAACUGUGCCUGGUGUCCUGUGGGUGCUCAGCCAACAUGUUUACAGGGCAGAUGACAUAAAUGAAUUUAGGCGAGGAACCAUGGAUGUCCUGGGGCCAGAGCAGUGCCUCAACCAUUACAUCAAACACCAGAUCUCUCCACUAGAGGGCAACAGCACAGUGUGAAGAGUUUGGGAUCUGAAGGCCUUCCUGUUUGCAUCUCUUUCCUUCCAGGUGAGGUUCUAGAAUGCAAGACAGAGGAAGGAUUCCUUUUGGAUCAUGAUGAUGAAGGAAGGCAACAGCGUGGCGAUAGCAGAAGAGCAAGAUGGAGCCAGUGGCAAUGUAACAAUAUGACAUAUAACAUGAUGGUUCAGAAUUAGGGGUUUUUCUAUGUUUUGUUUUGUUUUGUUAUGGAGGUGGGCCACCUAGGUUCAAAAGUGGGAGAGGAGAGGGCAUAUCUCUUCUCUUUGAAGACAGCCUAGAAAUUAUGCACUAUUUCUUCUCACAUCUCAUUGUCCAGAAAACACUGCUGCUAAGGAUUCACAUGGCCACACUUUUCUGCAAGGCAGGAUUUUUAGCAUUUUUCCCUGAAUGGCCAAAAUUCUGUAGUAUGUAAGAGGGGGAAAAUGGAUAUUGGAGGCUUACUGCCAGUUUUGACCACAAGUCAACCAGCUGAGGUUAAAGAAGCAAUCUGGGUAACAAAUGGGCUGAUUUUUAGUUAGAGCAAUGAAAUGAUUUUUAGUUAGAGCAGGAGACUCCCGAGGUGAUUCAGAUCCAAGACACUAGUUAUUAGGCUUAGCUUCCUUCAUUGUUUGCAGUUUAAUGUGUUACAUCAGGUAGAUUUUUGGAUUUUACAACCUGGAUCCUUCAUCAUCCCUGCCCCAUGUUCUUUUGGAAUCCUCUUAGCCUGGCAUCCUGUUGUUAUGAUUAUGCAGAACUGGUCUGUUAGCAUUAUUUAAAUCUCUUAUUUGUCCACUUAGCAUCUUAUUAUAUGUUAGUAAAGACACAUGGAAAUUUCAUCUCCUAGGGCAUGAACGAUGAAGCCAUCCACGUUGAUGUACAUGGUAGGUAUUUAUCCUUUCUGAUGGCUGAGUAAUAUUCCAUGGUAUAUAUAAUCAUCACUAAAGGCAAGGGAAACAACAGCAGAGAUGAGCUAUUGAGACUUCAUCAAGAUAAAAAGCUCCUGUACAGCAAAGGAAACAGUCAACCAAACUAAAAAGUCACCUACAUAAUGGGAGAAGAUAUUUGCAAAUGACAUAUCAAAUAAAGGGCUAGUAUUCAAGGUCUAUAAAGAAGUU
rnacentral:lncRNA from 12 species